rnacentral:rRNA from 1 species
UACGUAGGCAGCGAGCGUUGUUCGGAGUUACUGGGCGUAAAGGGUGUGUAGGCGGUUGUUUAAGUUUGGUGUGAAAUCUCCCGGCUCAACUGGGAGGGUGCGCCCGAAUACUGAAUGACUUGGAGUGCGGGAGAGGAGAGUGGAAUUCCUGGUGUAGCGGUGAAAUGCGUAGAUAUCAGGAGGAACACCGGUGGUGUAGACGGCUCUCUGGACCGUAACUGACGCUGAGACACGAAAGCGUGGGUAGCAAACAGG